GGCUGCAGCUCAGGGGGAGAGCACCGGUCUUGCAAGCAGAGGGCCUCGGGUUCAAUUCUUCUCCCGGCAGGGCUA